CCGGACUUGACGUGCAGGUGGUACCAAAGCGAAAGCUGAGGGACCCGCAAGGGAGCCUGUGCAGGUGCUGCACGGCUGUCGUCAGCUCGUGCCGUGAGGUGUUGGGUUAAGUCCCGCAACGAGCGCAACCCCUGCCGCCAGUUACCACGUCUGGCGGGACCGCCGGGACCAACCCGGAGGAAGGUGGGGAUGACGUCAAGUCAGCAUGGCCCUUACGUCCGGGGCGACACACACGCUACAAUGGCCGGGACAAUGGGUUGCGAGGGCGCGAGCCGGAGCCAAUCCCACCAAACCCGGUCUCAGUUCGGAUCGGAGGCUGCAACUCGCCUCCGUGAAGUCGGAGUUGCUAGUAACCGCAGGUCGGCACACUGCGGUGAAUACGUUCCCGGGCCUUGUACACACCGCCCGUCACGUCAUGAAAGUUGGGGACGCCUGAAGCCGGUGGCCGAACCGCAAGGACGGAGCCGUCGAAGGCGGGACCAGCGAUUGGGACG
rnacentral:rRNA from 1 species